GACGAACGCUGGCGGCGUGCUUAACACAUGCAAGUCGAACGGAAAGGCCCUGCUUUUGUGGGGUGCUCGAGUGGCGAACGGGUGAGUAACACGUGAGUAACCUGCCCUUGACUUUGGGAUAACUUCAGGAAACUGGGGCUAAUACCGGAUAGGAGCUCCUGCUGCAUGGUGGGGGUUGGAAAGUUUCGGCGGUUGGGGAUGGACUCGCGGCCUAUCAGCUUGUUGGUGGGGUAGUGGCUUACCAAGGCUUUGACGGGUAACCGGCCUGAGAGGGUGACCGGCCACAUUGGGACUGAGAUACGGCCCAGACUCCUACGGGAGGCAGCAGUGGGGAAUAUUGCACAAUGGGCGGAAGCCUGAUGCAGCAACGCCGCGUGCGGGAUGACGGCCUUCGGGUUGUAAACCGCUUUCGCCUGUGACGAAGCGUGAGUGACGGUAAUGGGUAAAGAAGCACCGGCUAACUACGUG
rnacentral:rRNA from 1 species